rnacentral:rRNA from 1 species
AACGAACGCUGGCGGCAUGCCUAACACAUGCAAGUCGAACGGGAACUUCGGGUCUAGCGGCGCACGGGUGCGUAACGCGUGGGAACGUGCCCUUAGGUUCGGAAUAACGCCCCGAAAGGAGUGCUAAUACCGGAUACUCUCUUCGGACAAAAGCUUUAUUGCCUUGGGAUGGGCCCGCGUUGGAUUAGCUAGUUGGUAGGGUAAUGGCCUACCAAGGCGACGAUCAGUAGCUGGUCUGAGAGGAUGAUCAGCCACACUGGGACUGGGACACGGCCCAGACCCCUCGGGGAGGCGGCAGGGGGGAUAAUUGAAAAAGGGGCGAAAGCCUGAUCCGCCAAGGCGGGUGAGGGGUGGAAGGCUUUGGGUUGGUAAGGCUCUUUUACCCGGGAGGUUAAGGCGGUAACGGGAGGAUUAAGCCCGGCUUACUUCGUG